UACGGGGGGGGCAAGCGUUGUUCGGAAUUACUGGGCGUAAAGGGCUCGUAGGCGGCCAACUAAGUCCGACGUGAAAUCCCAAGGCUUAACCUUGGAACUGCGUCGGAUAUUGGAUGGCUUGAAUUCGGGAGAGGGAUGCAGAAUUCCAGGUGUAGCGGUGAAAUGCGUAGAUAUCUGGAGGAAUACCGGUGGCGAAGGCGGCAUCCUGGACCGGCAUUGACGCUGAGGAGCGAAAGCCAGGGGAGCAAACGGG
rnacentral:rRNA from 1 species